rnacentral:rRNA from 1 species
GUGGGGAAUAUUGGACAAUGGGCGAAAGCCUGAUCCAGCCAUGCCGCGUGUGUGAAGAAGGUCUUCGGAUUGUAAAGCACUUUAAGUUGGGAGGAAGGGCAGUAAGUUAAUACCUUGCUGUUUUGACGUUACCGACAGAAUAAGCACCGGCUAACUUCGUGCCAGCAGCCGCGGUAAUACGAAGGGUGCAAGCGUUAAUCGGAAUUACUGGGCGUAAAGCGCGCGUAGGUGGUUUUGUAAGUUGGAGGUGAAAUCCCCGGGCUCAACCUGGGAACUGCCUCCAAAACUGCAUGACUAGAGUACUGUAGAGGGUAGUGGAAUUUCCUGUGUAGCGGUGAAAUGCGUAGAUAUAGGAAGGAACACCAGUGGCGAAGGCGACUACCUGGACUGAUACUGACACUGAGGUGCGAAAGCGUGGGGAGCAAACAGGAUUAGAAACCCUGGUAGUCC